GCAUCUCUGUCGUUCGAAACUUACCCUAACUCUAGCAGUAGCUUUACUUUCGUAUCUCUUUCCCACGAUCUCCGCCUGCUCUGUAUGUAAAGAAAAAAAACCAAGUCAAUCUACAACUACUUCCCGAACGGAAGUCAGAAGAAUCCUCAUUUUCCUCACCUUAAACCGUAACACUAGGCAGUUGAUCUUCUCUCUCAAUCUCUCAUAAUUAUUUCAUUGAUCAAUCAAAGUUAUUUUUUCUAAACCCAUAUCUCAUAAACUAAAUCCAUCCUCAGAAACCAAACCCAAUCUUCAGUACUCUAGAUUUCGUACUGAACCCUAGAAUAUUGUUUUUUUCGACAUAAUCUUUAGAAAAUUAAUCUCUGCACGACAUCUUGCUGACAAGUCCGAGAAGAUGAGUUUAUAAGACCCUAGAUUCCUUGUUUAUGCUGAUGAUAUAUUGAGAAGAUUAGUCCAAAGCAGAGAAGCACGAAGAAUUAGAUUUUCGGGGUUCUCAAGCACAAUGGCUUGUGGUAGCCUGAAGAUAAGCAUUGCUAGAGUAUAGAGAUCCAUCCCUUUUAUAUUUAAGUGAAAUUGAGUACAUUUAAAAGUUUGAGGCAGCUGACCUGAAAUUUGUGGUGGGGAUGAAAGUGGAAAGUACUAGAGAGCUUCCAAGUCACCAUUUUAGACGGAAGUGCAAUUCCAUCCCAUGUUCAAAUUAAGACUUGGACGGCCUUCUGCUUUAAAUCUAGGUCUUAUAUUUCCAGCAAGCGGGGCAGUUGCAAGCGUACAUUGACAAGCAGCAACAUGGAAACUAGGAAAAAAGUUGAUUUUCUUCGGUCGUCGUCUGAUACUUUUCAUGUUUCAAAUCUAUACGUUUUGGAUUUAGGAAAUAUCAUUAGUGCACUAUAGACAACACUAAAGGCACCCAUGAAACUGGUGGAUCCAGAAAGUAAAAUUCUGAGUAAUACAGACUGUACAGUUUGUUUUACUUUUCUCUUUUGCAUGGGCAAGCGACAUCCUAGCGACAGUUUGGAGAAGCUCUUGCAGUGUGAGUGAGGACAUGCAUCUGCAGUAAACAAGACCUGGAGUAGUCACGCCCUUUCUUCUGUUCGAUGCGGAUGCGUUUACAUGUUUUGAUACUUACUGAUUAUAUUGAUGUCUUUGUUAUUAACUCUAGUAGAAUUCAUAUAUCGUUGAUUUGAUUCUGCGUAUAGAUUUCUGUUUUGUAGUUUGAUUCUUCACAAGACUAAACUUUAUGCUGCUGCGCUUGCUCCAUUCAAGGCUUACGAAGGUGAUGGUUUUCCCUAUGUAAUUGAUUUUUCAUUGUUGGCUCAUGUCAAGGUUUUUAAUCUUAAUUCAAAUACUACUAUUAGUACCUUAUACUUUAUUCAA